rnacentral:lncRNA from 1 species
AAGCCCCCUGACAGGUGGGCCCCACCUGUCAGCGGGUGCAGGCGCGGCGCGGGUGAGCGGCUGGGCCGGCAGGGCUGCGGCAUGCGCGAGGGAGUUGGGCCGGUUCGGCCCAAUUCGGCCGGGCCAGUCCGUUUGCUCCUUGUUUUUUUCUUUUACCCUUUUCUUUUUCUGUUUUUCUUAUUCCUUUGAUAUCUUUUGAUUUUGAACUCCAAAUUAGUCCAAAUAAAUCCUAGAAAAUUUGUAAAAUCAUGUUCUACCAUGAUACAACUUUUGGAAGUAGUUUCUAUUCAAAAUAAAAUAUAUAAAAAUACAUUUGCCCUAUAAAUGCCUUUAGGGCCAUAUAUCUAUUUAAAUAAAAUACUUUUUCAACUCCAAAUAAUUAUCCAAAAAUUAUGGGAUAGCUUAUAUAUGCACUAAACACCUUUUAUACAUAAAACCUAUUGGUUUGAAAAUGCAAAACUCAAAUGGGUGUAAACCCUAGGGUUCAAAAUGAAACAAAGUCUUUUAAAGCCCUUUUGAGAUUCAAAAUUUGAAUUCAAAUAUGCAAUUGUGGCAUGAUGCUCAUGGGUGUAAUGCAUGUGUAAAAGUUUGAAAUUUUGGAAUGUUACAUG